AGUAAUGCAUAGGAAUCUGCCCGAUAGUGGGGGAUAACCUGGGGAAACCCAGGCUAAUACCGCAUACGUCCUACGGGAGAAAGGGGGCUUCGGCUCCCGCUAUUGGAUGAGCCUAUGUCGGAUUAGCUAGUUGGUGAGGUAACGGCUCACCAAGGCGACGAUCCGUAGCUGGUCUGAGAGGAUGAUCAGCCACAUCGGGACUGAGACACGGCCCGAACUCCUACGGGAGGCAGCAGUGGGGAAUAUUGGACAAUGGGGGCCAACCCUGAUCCAGCCAUGCCGCGUGUGUGAAGAAGGCCCUCGGGUUGUAAAGCACUUUCAGCGAGGAAGAACGCCUGGUGGUUAAUACCCACCAGGAAAGACAUCACUCGCAGAAGAAGCACCGGCUAACUCCGUGCCAGCAGCCGCGGUAAUACGGAGGGUGCAAGCGUUAAUCGGAAUUACUGGGCGUAAAGCGCGCGUAGGUGGCUUGAUAAGCCGGUUGUGAAAGCCCCGGGCUCAACCUGGGACGGCAUCCGGAACUGUCAGGCUAGAGUGCAGGAGAGGAAGUAGAU
rnacentral:rRNA from 1 species